UUUAGAUUAAGUUGCCUACAAGUCUCAAGUUGCAGCUUGCAGGUAACUUUUUUGUCCCACAUUUCGUAACAACUUUAAGAGACAUGCUUUUUUCGCUGUCCCGCAUUUUAUACUCAACAAUGUUAUUGAAUGAUUUAUAUUUCUCCUCCAAUGGCUUUCGCUACAACAGAUCCUUUGCUGAAAUUACUCUAACCUUGUAUCCAUAUUCUAAUAUAUACAUGUAAUCGUCUUUAGUAAGAAAUUAGCUUUAUAUUUGUUCCUUCAAUGAGAGAAGUUGUCAUGGGACUUCUUGGUAAUAUGAGAAUGGUGCUGGCUUGCGAGCAAUACUAAGACGUUCAAGUUGAUUAUUAGUUUGCUGCGAGCAAUCCUAAGAUGUACAAGUUGAUUAUUAAUUGUUUGCUGCAUAGGAACAUUAAGUGUAGGGAUGGGUGAGUGAUUAUGGUUGAGGAGGUAUAACACCUUUGUAGUAGACAUAAGUUAGUUUUGGUGGGUGAGACUUAUGUAUUGAAUAUCUAUAUGUAUAUACAAUUGUAUUGUAUAUUAUUCAUGUUAGUUUUUAAUGAAACUAUUUUUAAAAUUU